AAAACCUUACCAGGGUUUGAAAUAGUAGGAAAGGCUGUCGAAAGAUAGCCGUGUUUCCCUUUUGGGAGAAAUCCUACCACAGGUGGUGCAUGGCCGUCGUCAGCUCGUGUUGUGAGAUGUUGGGUUAAGUCCCGCAACGAGCGCAACCCUUGUCCUUAUUUGCUUCCUCGUAUGAGGUGCUCUAUAAGGAGACUGCCGGCGACAAGCCGGAGGAAGGAGGGGACGACGUCAGGUCAGUAUGCCCUUUAUGCCCUGGGCUACACAGGCGCUACAGUGGCAAGGACAAUGAGUAGCAAGAGUGCAAGCUCAAGCUAAUCUCACAAACCUUGUCGUGGUGCGAAUUGAAGGUUGAAACUCACCUUCAUGAAGCCGGAAUCGGUAGUAAUGGCGUAUCAGCUAUGUCGCCGUGAAUACGUUCCCGGGCCUUGUACACACCGCCCGU
rnacentral:rRNA from 1 species